CGGGGUGUGGCGCAGCUUGGCAGCGCGCUUCGUUCGGGACGAAGAGGCCGCCGGUUCAAAUCCGGCCACCCCGACCA
rnacentral:tRNA from 3 species